CCUACGGGUGGCAGCAGUAGGGAAUCUUUCACAAUGGGCGAAAGCCUGAUGGAGCAACGCCGCGUGCAGGAUGAAGGCCUUCGGGUUGUAAACUGCUUUUAUAAGCGAGAAAUAUGAUGGUAACUUAUGAAUCAGGAUCGGCUACCUACGUGCCAGCAGCCGCGGUCAUACGUAGGAUCCGAGCAUUAUCCGGAGUGCCUGGGUGUAAAGAGUUGCGUAGGUGGCAUAAUAAGUAGCUAGUGAAAUCUGGUGGCUCAACCAUUCAGACUAUUAGCUAAACUGUUAAGCUCGAGACCGUUAGGGGUAACUGGAAUUUCUAGUGUAGGAGUGAAAUCCGUAGAUAUUAGAAGGAACACCAAUAGCGUAGGCAGGUUGCUGGGACGGUUCUGACACUAAGGCACGAAAGCGUAGGGAGCAAACGGGAUUAGAUACCCCUGUAGUC
rnacentral:rRNA from 1 species